ensembl:lncRNA
CACAAUUAAAAGUAAACAUUUAUGGAACCAUCUAGGAUUGUACAGUUGCAUGCAAAAGUAUUCUUGAUAUUUUUCUAUAAAAUAACACCUUCUGAGUGAACCACCAUCAUCACCACAUGUUAACAUACGAAACAGUAAUGUUUCCACUGACUGCUGCUUACACCGUAGGUUAACACACUCUACAGAGCGCUGGUGGGGGAAUCCAUAUCCCAUUUUAGGCAUCACCACUUCCGACAAAGAAGUUUGGUAGAUAUUUGCCCACAGUUAGAUGAUGGGACCAUAUGCCCAGCAUGUCCAAAGGCAGAUGGAGAUAUGAUUGUGACAUUGGAUGCCAACUUUGGCCUUGUGAGGAAGCAAAGCUCAGGUACACGUGCGGUUGAGCCAUCACAUGGAACCCGCAUGUUUGUUGAUGAAAAGGAUGUAGAGGAAUACCUGCUAUCACGUCUUGACAGCUCAAAGCCUCACGAGGACUGCAGUAACUUCAAGGCUGGCAACGUGCUGAGGUCACAAAACAAGCAAAGAAACUUUUGGUGAAACUGUUUUGGUGUUUGGAGCCUCCUGUCACCAUGAAAUGCCCCUAAUGUUUGUCAACAUGAGCCAAGGAGAACGGCAAGUCUAUGCCACAGUAGUGACAUCUCUGACUAAUGACCCAGAGCUCCAGAAUGAUAAUUCCCCGUUUGAUUCUGCCUGUUCAUAAAAUGCUUAGAAUAGCAUGACCAAAUAUUUUCAGUCACCAAAUAUGAACCUCAUGGAAUGUAUAUGGGAGAUUCCAAAAUAUUACAAAAUGUAAACUUUACCACCAUUCUAUAAUCUUCACUAAUAUAAGAAAACUUUAAAAAUGUUUGGAUAAUUUUGAGUGCACUUAUUGAGUAUUGUUAAGGUAUUGAAUUUGAUGCUGGAGAUUGUUUGUAUAAUUCAUUUUUACUUUUCUUCAGUAUAAAGUGUCAUCAAUCAGAUUUUUGUGUUGGAAUAGAUUAGCCUAUCCCCUGUAUGUCAUCGAUGAGCUACUUCGAAGCUGUGAGGACAAGAACAUACACCUGCGAGUAGUCUAUGAUAUUGCCUGUGUUGUUGCCUCACAUUUGCAUGUAAGUACUUUUUUUCUGUGUAAAACUGAAUUAUUGUUUUGAGAAAAGACCAUGACACAUUAACUCAAAAUUAUGCCGUACGGUGUUCAAUCAGGAAUCAGGGGAGGGCAUACCACACAACCUGUCCUUGGCCGUGCCAGCAUUUCACGUUUAUGGACAUAAAUUGCCCUGCCUGGUGAUUCAUUGACUUGAGAUGCAGCUCCUGCAAAGACUAGACAAAGCAGAGAAAAUAUUGAUUCUCGCUCAAGAAGACGUCUCAUCUGUCAUCAGAGAGGCACCAGCUAAACAAUGCACAGAAGAAGCAGGUAACAGUAGCUGUAAACCGGGAAUUUUAGAUUCCAUUUACAAGCACAUUUUGCCCUGAGUAUGCAGCACUGAUGUUGUCUUGUUUCCUGUUAUUUUUGUUGUCUAGUGUUGGUUUCUGAGGGAGACAUGGAGAAAUGGAAGAA